GGCUGCCGCAGCAGAAUACCACAAACCAAACAGCUUCCAAUAACAGAUCUUUAUGUUCUCACCACUGUGGAGCCAGGACUCCAAAACGAAGGUGUCGGCAAGGCCAUGCCCACCUUGAAACCUGUAGGGGAGCAUCCUUUCUCGCCUCUUUCUAGCUUCUGGUGGUUUGCUAGCAAUCCUGGGCGUUUCCUGGCUCACAGCUGCAGGAUUUCAAACUCUGCCUCCAUUGUCGCAUGAUGUUCUCCCCUCCUAUAUCUGUAUCUCUGGAUCUCUUCUUUUAAGGACAUGAGUUAUAUUGGAUUAAAGGCCCACCCUACUUCAGUAUGACCUCAUCUUAACUUAUAACCUCUGCAAAGACCGUUUCCAAAUAACAUCACAUCUUCUGGCACUGAGGAUUAUGUCUUCAACAUGUCAUUUGGAGAGACACAAUGCAACUCGUAACAAUGGCUCAAUCACAUCUUCUCUGCUCCCUCUUUCAACAAUGGCUUCCCCACCCAACUUAAUAUAGGGUGGACAGGGGCAACUUCAGGACCUAAACCAGGGAAAAAGAUAGGAGCCUUCAUAAAAAUGGAACCAUCUAUCCCCAGCACAGGAACCAGAGGGCACUUCUCUACCUCUGCUUUUGAAAUAAAGAAUAUUAUCAUUGUUUCCUCCCCUGAGGAAAUAGAAGAGUAGCCAGCUCAGCUAGGGCUGUCACCUUCCUGAGGUUGCUCCACACUGGCUGACAGCCAACAGCUGCUGCUUAAAAAAUAAAAUACCCUCAUCAUAAAUAAGGAAAUUACUGAAUAAGGCUGGAAUUUCAAGAGAGGAAAUAGGUUGUACUCAUUUUCCUGCUCCAUAAGAAAGAGGACACGUGUGACUUCAGGGAGAGGCUGUGGACCAAGUGCGUCAGUACUGAGAGUGGUAGUGAGGGUCCCAGGCUGGUGCAGCAUGAAGAGUACCACAAGAAAUGCCCACCUGUGAGACCGCUGAGGCCGGGCAGCGCCUAUCCACCUCCCCACCCACUUUUUCUCAGAUCACAGGCCUGGGAUCUUGGUACAGUCCAAAUGGUGGGGAAAGAGCAUGGAGAAUAACAAAUACAGAACACUUCUUGUUGACUUCUUCAGGAGCAUGUUCUUGGGAAUACAAAUGUGGGGGAGUGAAGAGAAGAAAGCAGGAUGAAGCAGAAGGAAAAGAGGAGCUGCAAUCCAGUGCCCAAAGAGCUGUAGAACUGAGAUCACUCUGAAGAACUGUCCCAAACUGGAAGAAGAGGGGCAAGUAAUUAUAAUACCCUAUUGAUAAUCAUUGGAUGAGAGCUUCCCUGGGGAAGGAGGCAUUACUUUGUUCAUGGUGGGUCCCUUAAGCUAACGCAGUUUCAUCACAACGAUGCUCUCAAUCUGGAGUACACACAUCAAGAGAUGGGCAGACCCUUCAGGAGAGGUUUAAUGCAUCCAGUACACAUCGUGGUCGCUCCGCACAUGCUGGUACCCCCUGCUCCAUUAGCAGAAAUUGCUAAUUCUGAAGGUCUCCCCAUUUAAUGUAAUCCACCUCUCCCUCAUUUAAUCACAAAUACAUUCACGCCCUUCCCAGCAGGAGACAACUGAAUAUCACGUUGUGGGCUGUUCUUCAGGUACGUUCAGGUGAUAUCCAUUCCUCUUCUAGGUGCAGGUUCUCAAGGUCUACUAGCCUGUGGGCAAUGGGAGAUUGGUUAAACGAAUUGAGACACACUCAUAUGGUAGAUCAUUAAAACUAAAGUUGUAGAAGAUAAUCAUUAUAAGAGAAAAAGCUUCUGGGAUGUUGUUAAGGGGAAGAAGAUAAUAAAACAAUGUAUACCAUAUAAUUCCACUUCUGGGGAAAAAACAUACAUAUGAGAAAAAUCUGUAAGAAGGUACAUUAAAAUCCAGUAGUUACUUCUGGGGUGGUAGGAUUAUUGGUUAUUCUACUCUUUCUCCUUUUCUUUAAAUAUGUUUUCUAGAUCAGACAAAAAUAAUGUUACUUUUGAAAUACUGAAAAUAUUAUUUUUCCUCUAAAAAUUAUAGAUGUCUUAUGAGGAGUAUGUUUGUGGCUACAUUAGUCAAUUAAUGAUUGCUUGACCACUAGUUGGAGAAAUCAGGAAUGAGACUUUAAGUGGAGCUCGUAUGUUAACAGUGGCGGCUUCAGAGCCUGGAAGAUUUAGGAAAGGACUAGUCUGGGUAAAAGGAGAAGGUUUAGACCUAUGCUGUUCAAGACAGAGGCCACUAGCCACAUGUGACCACUGAGCACUUGAAAUAUGGCUAGUUCAAAUUGAGAUGUGCUUUAAGUGUAAAAAAAAAAUAAGAUUUCAAAGAUUUAGUAUUAAAAAUAUUUUAAAAUCCUCAAAAAUUUUUAAUAUUACAUCUUGAAAUAAUUAUAUUUUGUAUAUAUUGGGUAAAUAAAAUAUAAUAUUAAAAAUGAUUCACAUCUUUGUUUUGUACCGUGCUGAUUUAGAUACUUGUCAGGAAAUGUAAGUUCUCUGAAACACCCCCCAAAGGGAAAAGAAUAUGAAAAAGCAUUUGCCUCACAGGAAACCUGCCAACCUUUCUGUUUUACUUGGUGCUUUAGUAGGACAACCACUGGAAAGGGCAGUUUGUUGUCAAAUGAGCAUGUCAAAUGAACUCCAACCACUGCAAGGCAAAAUGAAACCCACGCUACCUAAAAGGUGUAGAUAUCAGUCCAUGUAAUUGAAAUCUGUCGACUUGGGGGUAAGUUAAAGAAACACCGUGUUGUUGUAGAAGGCCAUUGACAUCUUCUCCUGGUAAAACCCCCAGAGGGUGCUGUCUUAAGGUGUUGGACAGAAACUGCCCCAUGGCAUCUACACACUGGAUGUUGAUUUGAGUUAAACUGAGCAUUUGACAGAAGGAUUCUGACCCAUUCCCUGGAGUGAUUUGGGAAGGUAUUUAUAAAAAGGAAUGAUGUGCUCCAGUGAUUUACAAUAAUGGCAUAUAUUGUUUUGUCUUUGGUUUGUUUCUUGAUUGUAAAUAUUGGUCAGUGUCCAAAAUUAAGAUGCAAUCACUGGUUACCCCAACCUGGGAUGUUUAUUUGGAAAAACACAAAGUGGUUUAAAAUUCAUACAAAUCACUCUAAACCUGGGUACACUCUUUUUCUUUAAAUCUUAGAUUCUGCUGUCAGAUCAAGAGAAAAAGGGAAAGCUUUCAUAUUGCUCAAAAUGAUUUUUUAAAAUUUCCUUCAUUUCUUACUUCCUUCUCAACUCUUUUCCACUCUAAAACAUUCUCAACUCCCUAACUCAUUAAGAUAUUUUAUUCAUAAAGAGAACUUAAAUUAAGAUUUAAAUAAAUAUUUAUUAAACUGUUUUCCAGAUUUACAAAAUCCAGCUGGGUAACUCAUUGAAAAUAAGUACUGUGUAAUCUGUUGUCUAGUAAAAAGGGUUUGAACAGGAUGUUUAGGCCACAUCUCAGCUCCAUCAUUCCUUCUGGUAUCCUGGCAUCACUGGGUAAGUUCACAGUUUAAGGAAGGAAUCUGAGGUGGUAGAACCAGGUGUGCUGGAGAGGCAGCCUAGGUCAGUGGCUAAGAGUGAAAUUCUGGCUUCACCACUUUCUAGCUCUUACAACCUUAGGAAGGUUAUGUAAUUUCAUAUUAUUAUUAUUAUUAAAGCCUUAUGAUAUAGUUAUUAUUAUUAUCUCCAUUUUAAAGAUGAGAAAACACAGAGCACAAAACCAUAAAGACUGUGUCUGGGAUGCAGUAAGUGUUAUGUAAGGGUGUUAAGCAAGUAAGCAUACAAAAUGCAGGACCAAAAGAAGCAACACCAGCCCCCAAACUACACCAUGUGAAUUUCCAAAGAACCAAGUGUUCACACUACAUCAAAACGAGCCUGUUGAAUCUUUUGGACUCUGAGAAAUAAAGCAUAGUUAUUAUCAAAUUAAGAUUUAAAUUCAAUUCCUCAGCUGCGUCUUGAUCACUGGAUACCACUUUAAUAAUCACAUUAUUAAAGAAAGUUCCAAGUUUGGGGUGGAAUACUGCAGAUGAGGAAAGUAGAAAUUACUGCUAUAUUAUGAUCUACACUUUGUCUUAAUAUGAUCUGGCCCAUAUAAAAAUGCUCCAGAACAGUUGCAAAAUAUGGAUAUUUUUCUUUGAAAACCAGCCUUUUGUCUUUAUAACUUACAAAGCCAUUUUUCCCAGUCCACAAAGCUAUUUGGUCACAAAUUUAAGAAACCAGUGAUUCCUGAGAUAUAUGUGCUUUCACACUUCAGGAAAUAAUUUCAAAAUGAUUUUGGCAGUCUACCCAUUUUUAUAAAGAUAAAAAACUAAAAUAUUAUUUUGUCUUAGAAAUAAGUAUUAAUAGAGACAUUAUUAUAUCUUUGCCCCUAGAGCUUUAGAAGCAAAGAUUUGUCUUUCUCUUCCUCUCUCUCUCACUCUUCCCUAUUUCCUCCUUCCUGGUGAGUCUUACUUCUGUAUACUAGAGUAAUUAUAUCUAUUUUUUUGAAUGCUUUUGUAUGUAUAUUAUAAAGUGUUUCCUUUCUUGUUCUCAAUUCAAAUGGAAUACUGAACUGUGCUCUCUGUAUACUAAGUUAACUGGGGCCUGUCGGGGGGGUGGGGGGAGGGGGGAGGGAUAGCAUUAGGAGGAAAACCUAAUGUAAAUGAUGAGUUAAUGGGUCCAGCAAACCAACAUGGCACAUGUAUACAUAUGUAACAAACCUGCACGUUGUGCACAUGUACCCUAGAACUUAAAGUAUAAUAAAAAAAAAAAUUUAAAAAAAAA
rnacentral:lncRNA from 1 species